rnacentral:lncRNA from 1 species
CGGCCCGGCCGUGGCCCUCCAUGGGCAGGUAGUCGCUGUCGGAAUAGCCGUCCUUCGCCAUCUCGCGCAUCUCCACGGACUGCGGGGCGCCGAGGGGCAGGGCCGUGAGCGGGGGGGAAACUGAGGCACGGCCAGGGCUGGGCACGCCGAGACCACCGUGCUGCCCCCCUCCCCCAGGCACUCCCAUGGGGACAUGGCGAUCCCCAGGGACAUGGGGACGGGUGGACACCGAGGGAUGAGGUUUAGGAGGUGACUGGGGACACCCAUGGGGACAAGGGGAAUGGAUGGACACAGAGGGAUGAGGUUUAGGGAACAUCUGGGACAUGGGGACUGCUGGGGAUGGAUGGACACAGAGGGAUGAGGUUUAGGGAACAUCUGGGGACAUGGGGACUGCUGGGGAUGGAUGGACACCGAGGGAUGAGAUUUAGGGGGUGGUUGGGGACAUGGGGGAUGGAUGGAUGCAGUCGGAUGAGGUUUAGGAGAUGGUUGGGGACAUGGGGACCCUCAGGGACACAGACACAUGGGAGAUGGGGCUCAGGGGACACGGGGACAGCUGGACACGGGGCUGGUCGAGGCUCAGGGGAGCCCAGGGCCAGGAGCCAGCGCCGCCCUCACCUGGGAGUUGGGGCGGCUGUUGGGGAUGUCCUCGGGGUGCCCCCGCUCGGGACUCCAGGUCCCCGUUUUCUGGAACAUCUCCUGGGCGCGCUGGGUGACCCACGACUGACUUUCCUUGAGGCCCCCGUCGUGCGCGGCCCUGCGGGGCACAGGGCGGCUCAGCACCAUCCCUCUGGGCCCCUGCACUGGGGAUGGGGAAGGGCAGGAUGGAGCCGGCAGCACUUACAGCCCCCCGCCUGGCUCGGCCGUGGCCACCGUGUCCGGCCCUGGGGCCCCCUCCUGCGUCGGGGACGGCGGCUCCAUGCGCUGGAACAUCAGUGGUGUCCGGUUCUGUGGGGACACGAGAGCAGUUGGGGACAUGGUGGGGACAUGGACAUGGCACAUGGAAGUGAUGGAGCUGGGAUGGGGAUGCAGGAGAUGCACGGGGAGGUGAUGGAGCUGGGAUGGGGAUGCNNNNNNNNNNNNNNNNNNNNNNNNNNNNNNNNNNNNNNNNNNNNNNN